rnacentral:rRNA from 1 species
UACGGGGGGAGCAAGCGUUGUUCGGAUUUACUGGGCGUAAAGGGCGCGUAGGCGGCCACCGCAAGUCGACUGUGAAAUCUCCGGGCUUAACUCGGAAAGGUCAGCCGAUACUGCGGGGCUAGAGUGCAGAAGGGGCAACUGGAAUUCUCGGUGUAGCGGUGAAAUGCGUAGAUAUCGGGAGGAACAUCCGUGGCGAAGGCGGCCACCUGGACCAGCACUGACACUGAGGCACGAAAGCGUGGGGAGCAAACAGG